AUUGGAUACUUACUGCAUUCUAGGCACUGUGCGAAAUGUCUUACAUCUAUUCAUCUCGUUAGUAAGCAUUUCUGAAACGAUCCGUUCUUAUAAUUUGUCUUUUCGGUUUUCUCAUUCAUGUUCUUAAAAUCUGAGCAUAGCCAUGAGCUCCCAGUGCAGCCACUGCAUCUCUUUAAAAGCUGCCGCUCUCUACUUUCUCCUGGGUGAUGGGUCCUGCCUCUGAAGCUAGGACGAUCUGGGUAGGCAGGAAUCCUGCCUUCCAAGACCGGCAGGAGGCGUGGUUCCCCGGGCUGUACGGAUGAUACAAGGUCUUGACUCAGGGUAACUGGUGGCUAUGUAAGGGAAGGGAGAAGCUUAAAAUGAACCAAGGAAGGAUGCAGGAAGUGGAGAGGUGGGCUGAGAAUCAGGCUCCUAGGAGUGCAGUGGGAAGGAGUCCAAAGGUUAAAGUCUGGGAAGCCUGGGCUUGGUCAGGAGGUGGGGAGAAGGAAGUCAUUCCAGAUGGAGGCGGUAACAGUGUGAACCCAUCUGUGAGGGUUCAUUUUGUGUGUCAACUUGACUGGGCUAAGGAUGCCCAGAUAGCUGGUAAAACAGUAUUUCUGGGUAUGUCUGUGAGGGUGUUUCCAGAAGAGAUUAGCAUUUGAAUCUGUAAAUUGAGUAAAAAAGAUUCAUCCUUGCCAAUGUUGGCAGGCGUCAUCCAGUCCAUUGAGGGCCAGAUUAGAACAAAAAGGUGGAGGAAGGGCAAAUUCUGUCUUUCUUCUUGAGCCAGGACAUCCAUCUCUCCUGCCCUCAGACAGCGGAACCGGAGCUUCCGGUUCUUGGGCCUUGGACUCUGGGACUGACACAAGGCUGGCCUUCCUUUGUCCUUGGACUGGUUCUCCAGCGUGCUGGCAGCAGGUCAUGGCAUACCUCAGCCUCCAUCCUCGUGUGAAUCAAUUCCUGUAAUGACUCUCCUCUCAUACAUCACGAUAUAUCCUAUUGGUUCUGUUUCUCUGGAGAACCCCACUACACUAUCAUUUCUUUUUUCAGUAAUGAGCGUCAGAAAGGAGUCCAGAGGACAGGCUCUCUCUCCACUUCCUCAGCCUGCUGAGGACUGAGGCUGACAACAAGCAGACCCUAGAAAUUCUCCACAAUGCAUCCAUUCUCAGAUGUGUGGAUUUCCAGGCAAGUGUUCUGCACACAAAAACUGCUCCAUAUAUGUUACUGGUUCAUCUAACUAAAGACCCCAGAAGAGACUAGCACCCCAAAGGAGCAAAUAUUUCUCUUCUGGGCUCCCCAACUUAAAGCAAACAUCGCUAUUAUGAGCAGGCAGUAGGCAGUUAAUAAAUACUUCUUGACUAAUUAGGGAGUGUAAGUAUGCAAAAGUGGUGAAUUAGAAAGAAAGAGAGCUGCAUUAAAGAUAAUCAAACCACGAAGUAUCUAGAACAAUAGCUUCUCCCCUGCAUUGUGUGUGUAGGGAGAGAAAGGCUGGCUAGCUGGCAGCUCUCCCUUCUCAUUAGUCUCCACCAGGAUAGUAUUGCAAUUAGCUCCGGAUGGCACAGCAAUUAUCUUCUAUUCUUGGAACAAACUCCUGGGAGAUCUGAGUUUGGGUGGUGAAGGAAGGUUUUACCAGGGACAAAUAAAUUCACUGUGAACCCCUUCUGAGUGAAUACUCCGCGUGUGGCUAAUAGAAUGUUAGCCAUCAAUGUAAACCUGACUGGUGGCUUCGUUUUAUAUCAAUGACACUUAAACACGAGCUCAAGAAUUUGGAUGGCCAAUUAACAGAACAUGGCUCGGGAAAUUAUAGGUUUCAAAUUUCAGAAAAAUCGGUGAAUUUAGACAACUCGAAUAUCUGCUCCUCAUUAAGGUAGACAGCCUCGGCCUCCAAGUUCUGGCUGACACGGGCUUGCUACUGAGAUGGGGACUGAAAGGAGUAAAAAAAUAAUGUUCUCAAUUAUCUUGCCAGUUAUUGAGCCGGGUAAAGACUCCACCUCACCGCCCACUUGACAAUCCCUUUUAAACAGCUAAAUUUCCUGCAUUUUAAUCAGCUGACAGACCCAGGAGGCUGGGCUGUCUGGGAUGUUUGCUCGCCCUGGCUGGGGAGGACCGGGCUUGGCAGGCACAGGGGCCUCCAAGGUCCUUGUGGAGGGUCCUUGCCAAGAAGAGAGCCUCUUCCUGGGGUCAGAACCGAGCCACAAAUCCUGGCUCUGCGACCCCUCCAACCUCUUCGCUUCGUCUUCCACCCGUCACGCUUUUCUUUCUUCUGUGACAGGAACGACAGCUGUAGGGCCUGGAGUGUUUUGUCAAAGGGCCUAAGCUGGAAUCCUGCCUGGCUCCACUGCCUGCUAGUUGGGUGACUCGAGCUUUCUGAGGCCCAGUUUCUCCCUCUAGAAAAUGGGUAUGAUAAUAUCUGCCGGAAUCAUCCAGAAGGUGCUGGAAAGAGGAGGUGCCUGGAUGACUGCCCUGAGCCUGAAGGAAUUGUACCCACUGGUUUUGUUGCCCACAGUCAUUACGGGAAUGCUGAUGAUCACCUGUGCUUAGGACGAGCCCCAGGAGCUCUGUGUUGAUGCAGGGCUUCCCUGCAGAUGGUGCUGCGGCCCGGAGAAUGCUGCUAGCGAUAGGUGGGGAGAGGGGCAGCUGCACCUGAGGGUUCAGCAAAAGGUGGGUCCGGCCUCAGUUUCUACUUCCUAUACGUCCUUGGUGUGUGCUCCCACAAAAGUUUCCCCACUGUCGCAUUUGGUUUCUCACGGGCCAGUUACCUGAUAAACCAGUGACUCUGUUUCUCCUUUUUCACCCUCUCCAGCGGAUGGAACAGUGGGUCUCGCUGGCCUCCUCUGCCCAGGCCCCUCCUGCCCACCUCCCCAGACUAAGCCAGCCACUCCCCUUGACCCCUGCGAAGCGGUGCAGCGGCCUGUGUCUGCAUCUCCUGUGAUCCCUCUGGAGCGUCUUAGCAUUUAGAUGACUCCCCUGGGCUCUUGGAAACAUCCUUGUUCUGACUUUGUUUCCCAUCUGAGAUGAAGCUAGGCAAUCUGAGAAAGGAGCUAAGCCAGUGAUGCAGGAGAGAAGGCCCCAGGAUCCCCACUUGGUGCUUAGAAGACAAAGGCCCAUCUUUACGGCCCAGGUUAAAGGGCUGGGCUUGGCUCCAACACACCAGGUCGGAGUCCCAGCCCCACCACCCAGGGCUUGUGUGACCAGAGGCUCAUUACAGGGGAUGCCCUAAGUCUGCUUUGCCUGCCUGCCCAAGGAAGAGAAUGACCCCUGCCCUCUAGGAUGCAGUAGUGAAGAUGAAAUGAGAUGAGACACGCAGUGGGCUUGGCAGAGGGCCUGGCACACAGUGAUAUUCGCAUGAAGGUGGUUACUAUUCAGUGAGGAGAAGAGGUGAUGGAGCCGGGUAUCAGACCCGGGAGCAGACAGGACAGCUAGUAAGGGAGGACCGUGG
rnacentral:lncRNA from 1 species